CUGAGGUUGGCGGUCCCUCCCCGUUCUCUAGCAGGAAGGUGACUGCUACGCGUGAGCUUGCGUCCCUCCGCGCCGCACUUUACCCUGGGAGAGGUCCCGGCUCCCUGCUGACAACUUUAAGCGCUUGUUCCUUGUUUGCUGUGGUAUUGCGGAUGAUUUGUCACGUGAAACCUUACCUUUCACUGAAUAAGGCAGAUGCUUUUAAAGGUUACUCAAUAUUGGUAUUAUCUGGUUAAAACCUUUUACCAGAAUAUCUCUACUAUCAAUAACAUCAAAAGGCUGUGGGCUGCCUUCAGCCUUCAUGAAGAGGAGAAUCAUGAAAGCCCAAGAGCUGGAGAUUGCUGAGUCCUGUGACCUCAUGGCACACUACUGAGGGUGGUAAAGUGAGACUCUGUCUCUACAAGAAAAAAAAACAAAACAAAAAAAAAAAAACUUUGUUGCAAAAAUGCCAUUACUAUUUAGCCCUAUUGCAAUAAACUAUGCAAUUUAAGAUUUUAUUCCUAGACAUAGUGAAGUAUUUACAGAUGAAACAACACAAUGUCUCCGAUUUGCUUCAAAAUAUUCCAAGGGACAAAGGAACUUGGUGCGAGGGGAGGUGAUAGUGAAUGGGGUGAAGAUGAAACUAGCUUCACCAGGUGCUCUGGGUAAUUGUCAAAGUGGUGAUGGGUAUGGGGUGAAUGGUGGGGAAAGGAUAAUUAUACUAUUGUGUCAUGGAAACUUCAAACAUACAUGAAGUUUAAAACACACACAACUAUGUCCAGAAUUAAGAGGAAUUUGGUUCUGGAGUAAGGUCUAAUUUGUUGUAACUCAAGGAUUCACUUAAAUUUCAUUAAACCCUUUGUUGUUUUCUCAUCUAUAAAAUAAGGACUUGAUUAUAAAGAUGGAGCUUUUUCUAAGCAAGCGGACAACUGACUACAUUUAAAAUCACACAGAUUUUUUAACGAUUUUUCUAUUUUGAGAGAGUCUUACUGUGUCACCCUGGGUAGAGUGUAGUGUGGUGUCACUGUAGCUCACCGCAACCUCACACUCCUGAGCUCAAGCAAUCCUCCUGCCUCAUCCUCCCGGGUAGAUGAGACUAUAUGCCAUGAGGCCCAGUGAAUUUUUCUAUUUUUAAUAGAGAGGGAGUGUUACUCUUGCUCAGGCUUAUCCUGAGCUUAAGCAGUCCUACCACCUCCAUUUGCUUUUACAGAUAUAAUUAAUGGUAUUAUCUUAAAUUUUACAAUUUGUUUUCUACAAGUAUGGUCCAGACUUAGGAUAAAACCUUACUUCUAAAUUUCAGCAAAGUUUUCUUAAAUAUUUAUAGGUAGUAUCAAAAUAGUGUUUUUCUAAUGGUUAUUUUCAAUAUUUUUUCUUCUGCUGUCAACUUAAUAUUUUGCUUACUUUAAGUAAAUUCAUCAAUAAUACCUAGUUAUAAAUUAAGGCAAAAUAAAUUGUUUUCUAGAAACUUUAAUAAUUCAAAACACUGAGUACAAUAUUGUAUUUCAUACAAUAUAUAGCACAGUUUAACAUAUCUAUCGCUAUUCUAUUUUUUAAAUGAAUAAAAGGAAAAAUUUUCAAUAAAUUGAAUUUUGGAAAAAACUUUUUAAUUAGGAGUUUCUUACCAAGUUAUGAUUUCAUAUUUAUCAGAUAUGUAAAUAUACAAAUAGCAAUUUUUAAAACUUGUAAAUAGUUGGCCUUAUAAAAUUACAACACACUGUAAAUAAAUCCUUCCCACAUUUUAUACAAACUACGUGAUUUUGAUAUACAAAGAUUUGUUUUUAUUACACUGACAAUGUACAACCAAGACUAUAUACAAUGCAAAAAAGCAUAUAAACCACAAUUUAACAUUCUGCUACUGGCAGUCACUAUAGUUUAGGAGGUAGCUUUAAUUAAACGAAAUGAACAGAAGCCACAUUUCCCAACUUGUGU